rnacentral:rRNA from 1 species
GGAUCCAGACUUUGAUCCUGGCUCAGGAUGAACGCUAGCUACAGGCUUAACACAUGCAAGUCGAGGGGAAACGACAUCGAAAGCUUGCUUUUGAUGGGCGUCGACCGGCGCACGGGUGAGUAACGCGUAUCCAACCUGCCCAUCACUUGGGGAUAACCUUGCGAAAGUAAGACUAAUACCCAAUGACGUCUCUAGAAGACAUCUUAAAGAGAUUAAAGAUUUAUCGGUGAUGGAUGGGGAUGCGUCUGAUUAGCUUGUUGGCGGGGUAACGGCCCACCAAGGCGACGAUCAGUAGGGGUUCUGAGAGGAAGGUCCCCCACAUUGGAACUGAGACACGGUCCAAACUCCUACGGGAGGCAGCAGUGAGGAAUAUUGGUCAAUGGGCGAGAGCCUGAACCAGCCAAGUAGCGUGCAGGAUGACGGCCCUAUGGGUUGUAAACUGCUUUUAUAAGGGAAUAAAGUGAGUCUCGUGAGACUUUUUGCAUGUACCUUAUGAAUAAGGACCGGCUAAUUCCGUGCCAGCAGCCGCGGUAAUACGGGAGGUCCGGGCGUUAUCCGGAUUUAUUGGGUUUAAAGGGAGCGUAGGCCGGAGAUUAAGCGUGUUGUGAAAUGUAGACGCUCAACGUCUGCACUGCAGCGCGAACUGGUUUCCUUGAGUACGCACAAAGUGGGCGGAAUUCGUGGUGUAGCGGUGAAAUGCUUAGAUAUCACGAAGAACUCCGAUUGCGAAGGCAGCUCACUGGAGCGCAACUGACGCUGAAGCUCGAAAGUGCGGGUAUCGAACAGGAUUAGAUACCCUGGUAGUCCGCACGGUAAACGAUGGAUGCCCGCUGUUGGUCUGAAUAGGUCAGCGGCCAAGCGAAAGCAUUAAGCAUCCCACCUGGGGAGUACGCCGGCAACGGUGCAACUCAAAU